rnacentral:tRNA from 1 species
GCUGGUAUAGCUCAGUUGGUAGAGCAGCUCAUUCGUAAUGAGCAGGUCGCGGGUUCGAGUCCCAUUACCAGCU